GUUACCAGUGGAGCAGAACUUUGAAUUGUACAAUAUCCCCAGGACAUCAAUGUGUCUCUUAAUUCAACUGUUUUGAUACCUUGUGAAUUUGACUACCCUGAUAAAAUUGUAAUAGAGGUGUACAGAAGAAAAGACCCUACCUGUAAUCAGCCGGCACUCCAGCCAACCGCAAGUACCUCUGAUGUUCAAAAGUCACAAGUACAAAUUAAAACAGAGCAGUCCAAAAACUUUUCAAUCUUACGACUGUACAACAGUUCAGCUGAACUAUGCUGGCAUGUCUUUCUGUGAUGUAAGGCUAAUUUUACCACCACCAGUAAGGCACAAAUGUGGAAGUGGCAGCAGGCUGAUAGUACAUGAGUCCAAAUGCAAUGGCAAUAUCAGGCAUGCUAAAACAUGGUGGGUGUGGUUCUUUCUUCUUUGAUACAGCAUCUGUUCCUCUAUUAUUAUCACAGCUUUCUCCGGUGACCCUAACAGCCAUUCUGGUCCUGAACCUCCAGAAAACCCUCUCCUCUGCACGGGGCUGGUCCCAGCUUUUUUGCCAUCCCAA